UGCAUGUCUCAGUGCAAACUGUGUAAAAAGUGAAACUGCAAAUGGCUCAUUAUAACGGUUAUGGUUUCUUGGAACAAUAUCCUACACGGAUAUCUGUAGCAAUUCUAGAGCUAAUACGUGCAACCAUCACCUUCGGGUGUGCAGUUAUUUGAUCGCAAAUCGAUUACGGGUGAAACCGUAUUUGGCGUGACUCUGGAUAAUUGUUGCUGAUCGCGUGGCCUUCGUGCCGGCGACAUUUCUUUCAAAUGACCGACCUAUCAACUUUCGAAGGUAGAGCAUUGGCCUACCUUGGUUGUAACGGGUGACGGAGGAUCAGGGUUUGACUCCGGAGAGGGAGCAUGCGAAACGGCUACCACAUCCAAGGAAGGCAGCAGGCGCGCAAAUUACCCAAUCCCGAUUCGGGGAGGUAGUGACAAGAAAUAACGAUACGAGACCUUCACAGGUCUCGUAAUCGGAAUGAGAAAACUUUAAAUACGCUACCGAGCAUCAAUUGGAGGGCAAGUCUGGUGCCAGCAGCCGCGGUAAUUCCAGCUCCAAUAGCGUAUAUUAAAGUUGUUGCAGUUAAAAAGCUCGUAGUUGGAUCACAGUGUGACGUUGCCGGUUCGCCCGAUGGGUUGAGACUGGUGUUCGUCUACCUUUUUCGCGACUUGACCUUGUAUUCUUUGUCGAGUGCUUGGCUCUCGUCGCGACGUUUACUUUGAACAAAUUGGAGUGCUUCAAGCAGGCAAUUCGCCUGAACAUUUUUGCAUGGAAUAAUGAAAUAUGACUUGGUCGUCGUAUUUCGUUGGUUUGGUACGAUCGAGAAAUGAUUGAGAGGGACAUACGGGGACAGUCGUAUUGUGGCGGGAGAGGUGAAAUUCUACGAUCGCCGCAAGACGUACAAAUGCGAUGGCAACUGUCAAGCGUGUUUCCAUCAAUCAAGAGCGAAAGUCAGAGGUUCGAAGACGAUCAGAUACCGACCUAGUUCUGACUAUAAACGAUGUCGGCUGGCGAUCUGCUGAUUAAUAAUCAAACAGACCAGUGGGCAGCCCUCGGGAAACCAAAGCUUUUGGAUUCCGGGGGAAGUAUGGUUGCAAAGCUGAAACUUAAAGGAAUUGACGGAAGGGCACCACCAGGAGUGGAGCCUGCGGCUUAAUUUGACUCAACACGUGGAAUCUCACCAGGUCCGGACAUAGUAAGGAUUGACAGAUUGAGAGCUCUUUCUCGAUUUUAUGGAUGGUGGUGCAUGGCCGUUCUUAGUUGGUGGAGCGAUUUGUCAGGUUAAUUCCGAUAACGAACGAGACUCUAGCCUGCAAAAUAGUAACCUCUCACGCGUGGGAGGGAUACUUCUUUGAGGGACAAUCGGCUUCUAGCCGAACGAGAAAGAGCAAUAACAGGUCUGUGAUGCCCUUAGAUGUUCUGGGCCGCACGCGCGCUACACUGAAGAAUAUAACGGGUGUUUUGCUUUGCUCGAAAGAGUUGAGUAACCCUGUAACGUUCUUCGUGCCAGGGAUCGGAGAUUGCAAUUAUUUUCCGUGAACUAGGAAUUCCUAGUAAGCGCGAGUCAUCAGCUCGCGUUGAUUACGUCCCUGCCCUUUGUACACACCGCCCGUCGCUACUACCGAUCGGAUGUGUUGGUGAGGCCUUUGGAUUGGCAUUUUACUGAGAUUUUAUCUUGGUAUUAUUGCCGAAAAGAUUGCCGAACCCAUACGUCUA
rnacentral:rRNA from 1 species